CAACGACCAGUGUAAGGAUCCCGGUUUGAGCCCCCGGCUCCCCACCUGCAGGUGAGUCUGCAGGUGUCUAUCUUUCUCUCCUCCUCUGUCUUCCCCUCCUCUCUCCAUUUCUCUCUGUCCUAUCCAACAACGACAACAACAAUAAUAACUACAACAAUAAAACAACAAGGGCAACAAAAGGGAAUAAAUAAAUAAAAUAAAU